GCCAGGUGUGUUGGCGCGCACCUGUAAUCCCAGCUACUCUGGAGGCUGAGGCAGGAGAAUUGCUCGAACCCGGGAGGUGGAGGUUGUAGUGAGCCCAGAUCAUGCCACUACACUCCAGCCUGGGUGACAGAGUGAGACUCUGUCUCAA
rnacentral:SRP_RNA from 1 species